rnacentral:rRNA from 5 species
UGUUGACCUCGGAUCAGGUAGGAAUACCCGCUGAACUUAAGCAUA